AAAAAGACAAAUCUUAGAUUUUUGUGUCCAACGUUUGACUGUCCGUCUCAUAUGAAUUUUUUUUAUAACUAGUAUUUUCAUUAUUGUUAGAUGAUAAAACAUGAUUAAUACUUUAUGCUUGACUUAUCUUUUUAAUUUUUUUCAUAAUUUUUUAAAAUGAAACGGACGGUCAAACGUUGCACACAGAAACCCAGGAUUUUUCUUUUU
rfam:Oryza sativa Japonica Group DNA, chromosome 1, cultivar: Nipponbare, complete sequence.